AGUGAACGCUGGCGGCGUGCUUAACACAUGCAAGUCGAACGAGAACGGGAUAUAGCUUGCUAUAUUUGUCAGCUAAGUGGCGCACGGGUGAGUAAUGUAUAGGUAAUAUGCCUCUUACUAAGGGAUAACAAUUGGAAACGAUUGCUAAUACCUUAUAUGCCUUUAAGACUAAAGUCUGCAAGGGAAAGAUUUAUUGGUAAGAGAUUAGCCUGUAUUGUAUCAGCUAGUUGGUGAGGUAAUGGCUCACCAAGGCUAUGACGCAUAACUGGUUUGGGAGGAUGAUCAGUGACACUGGAACUGAGACACGGUCCAGACUCCUACGUGAGGCAGCAGUGGGGAACAUUGCACAAUGGACGAAAGUCUGAUGCAGCAACGCCGCGUGGAGGAUGACACAUUUCGGUGCGUAAACUCCUUUUAUAUAGGAAGAUAAUGACGGUACUAUAUGAAUAAGCACCGGCUAACUCCGUGCCAGCCGCCGCCGUAA
rnacentral:rRNA from 1 species